CCGUGAGGGAAAGAUGAAAAGCACUUUGAAAAGAGAGUUAAAAAGUACGUGAAACCGUUAAAAGGGAAACGGAUGGGGUUAGCAAUGCGCUUCGCGAGAUUCAGCCGGGUGUCGCUUCGGGUGAGCGGUUUGCGGAUCUGAAUGGACUGCGGCCGUUCGGUUCGGAGCUUCGACCGUCGCACUUCUCGCGGGCGCGCGCCAACGUCGGUUGGCACUGGGUUUCAAAGGCGCGAGCAAGGUAGGUUCCUUCYUUCGGGAGGGAGCUGUUAUAGGCUCGUGUCGCAUGGCCCGGAGCCGACCGAGGUGCCGCGGUGUAUGCCUCCUUCGGGUUGGCUAGAGUUUCGUCUUGCCGGUUGGUAGUCAACUGUGGUGGACUGCGUGCAGUGCGCCGCGACCGCUGCCGGUCGAUAAGGCGGUGACUUCGUAUCAUACGCCCAGGACGUUGGCGGUCAAAUGGCCUCAUUCGACCCGUCUUGAAACACGGACCAAGGAGUCUAACAUGUGCGCGAGUCUUUGAGUGAAGGAAACUCGCAGGCGAAAUGAAAGUGAAGGCGGCCUAGCCGUCGAGGUGAGAGCCUGUCCUCCGGGGCGGGUGCAUCAUCGACCGACCUAUUCUGCUCUCAGGAAGGUUUGAGUAAGAGCGCAUCUGUUGGGACCCGAAAGAUGGUGAACUAUGCCUGAACAGGGUGAAGCCAGAGG
rnacentral:rRNA from 1 species